rnacentral:misc_RNA from 1 species
GAAAGGGAAAGGGAGACUAAAGAACAGAAUGGUGGUCCACCUUGUGGACAAGUUAGGGUGCUUGUUGUUGGAGAUUCAGGUGUGGGGAAGACUUCUCUUGUUCAUCUGAUUCUCAAUGGUUCUUCCAUCGUUCGUCCUCCUCAAACAAUUGGCUGUACAGUCGGAGUAAAACACACUACUUACGGAAAUUCUGGUAGCUCCUCAACUAGCAUAAAAGGUGAUGCCGAGAGAGAUUUUUUUAUCGAACUCUGGGAUAUAUCUGGACAUGAUCGUUACAAAGAUUGCCGAUCUCUGUUCUACUCACAAAUUAAU